GAUGAACGCUGACAGAAUGCUUAACACAUGCAAGUCUACUUGAACUUCGGUUUGGGUGGCGGACGGGUGAGUAACGCGUAAAGAACUUGCCUCACAGUUAGGGACAACAUUUGGAAACGAAUGCUAAUACCUGAUAUUAUGAUUUUAGGGCAUCCUAAGAUUAUGAAAGCUAUAUGUGCUGUGAGAGAGCUUUGCGUCCCAUUAGCUAGUUGGAGAGGAACGGCUCACCAAGGCGAUGAUGGGUAGCCGGCCUGAGAGGGUGAACGGCCACAAGGGGACUGAGACACGGCCCUUACUCCUACGGGAGGCAGCAGUGGGGAAUAUUGGACAAUGGACCAAAAGUCUGAUCCAGCAAUUCUGUGUGCACGAUGACGUUUUUCGGAA
rnacentral:rRNA from 1 species